UUUCUGCCCAGCUAAGAUCCAGAUGGAAUUUCACAUCAAAGAGACACUGAAGGAGACAAAGGAUGGAUGUUCUGCCCAUGCCUAUGUAAAAUAACAGUGAGUAUCAGAAAUAUGAGAAGGCUAUGCUUAUUGUACAUGAAUAAUUUGACAGCUACUGAGGAUGCCAUAACCAACAUUGUGAGAUAAAUCCCUGAUGAGCUAAGCGACCUUGAAGAAAUCUCACUAAGCAACUGCUGUAUCUCCAGAGAUGCUGUGGAAAUUCUGAGUAAAAAUAAUAAUAGAAGACUAAAACUUUUUUAGGUCCUGGUGUAUACAAGUCAGAAUGAAGUGUCCAGGACCCCAGAGUCUACAAAUGUCCCAGGAGAGUACCGUGCACAUGAGACAGCUCCAAACACAGAGGAGGAAAAGACGAGUCACUUGGCUGCCUCUGUAAAAAGUGGUGGCCAACCAAAGCACUCCUUGCUUCCAGUCUGCCAGUGGAAUGAAGGGGCAGGAGCACCUUCCUGUUAGAGCUGCUGUUUCACUUCUCUGGGCACUGUUAAAUCAUGGGUGCUUGUACAUCAUGAACCCAUUAACUCCCUGUUACCUCCUUAUAUGUGCUUGUGCUCAUGGAUUCUGUUUUGUGCUGGGCAGUGCUUCAGGGCUAUUUCAUUUAGAUGCUUUUGCCCAGCCAAUUAAAAGAAAUAGAGCAAUUUUCCUGUAGUUUGGUUCCUUCGAAGGCAUGAUUCUAAUUCAGGAAAAAGCUAAAUUCAGCAAAAAUAUGUAUGUUAUCUGUAUUGACAAAAUCUGAUAUAGUGUAAUAUUUUCCACCAAGCAGAAAAAUCCUAUAUCAGACAUAUGGACCCAAAACUGAAUAAAGCUGAAGAAAAUAGAAAAAAAUUAUAUAAAAUUGCUGU